UACCACUAUUGUAGAGCUCCUGCGGGAAGCCGUGGGGGUAGUGGGAAGGGAGUUGAGCGAGGAGCUGGCAUUGAACUCUUCGGAGCUGAGGUUGUCGGAGGCAUCGCUGAGCCCACUGCUGAUGGAGCUGCUCUCAUCCCAGCUGCAGGACAGGAGGGAGAGAGAAUAGAAGAGGAAAUGAGUCCGAAUAGUCAUAUGACACAGGACAAUGAAAAAUGAAGAGCUUGUCUGGGGGUGGAAAUUUCUAGAGUGCUCGAACACGUUCUGAGAGGACAGAGAGAAACUGCCACUGCCAUCUAAACUGUGAUCAGGCUCUAGACAGCUGGAAGCUGUUUCACCUCACAAGGUGCCCAACUUCAGAGAAGCAAACCACCCAACCGGUCAUGAAAAGCCAGAGCCAAAGUCAGACGGCUUCUGAGUCUCCACCACGUUACCAACAAGGGGAUUGAACCCAGAGGAAAUGUGAACCUGCUAAGCACGAGUGCUAAUACGGAGCUUUGUCUCCCGGCCAAACACUAUUCAGAGUGAAUUAUGUUCCCUCGACUCAUAUAUUGACCAGGCCACAUUUAGAGAUGGGGAUGGGGUCAUAGGGAGGGGCUCCAAUCCCACAGGACUGGGAUCCUACUGAGGAGGAAAAGGCUUAACCCUUCUCAGAGUGCACAGUGUAAGGAGACAGAGGGGAGGCAGCCGUCUGCAAGCCAGGAAGAGCGGCUUCACCAGAAAUCAACUCCGAAGGCACCCUGACCUGGAACUUCCAGAACUGUGAGAAAGGAGAUUUUUGUGGUUUAAGGCUCCUGGUCUGUAUUAUCUUAUCAUGGCAGUCUAAGCAGACUGACCAAGCAUUACGGGACGAAACUACACAUAUCCCUGUACACACCCGACUGCAUCACCACAGACAAGAACUACCGUCCUGAUUCACACUAGUUUUCAAACCAGAGCUUUUUCUAUACCAGGCAGUAACUUACUUAUCAAGAUAAGCUCUUAUUCUGUAGUCCAGGCAGGCCUGGAAUUCACCAUUUAGCUAAAGCCUGACCUGGAACUGAUAGUCUUCCUCCUGAAUCAGCCUCUCAAAUGCCAUGCCACCGUGCUUAGCUAAUUUGAAGGCUUUUUAAAAAUAAAAGGUUGACAUUUA